AAUACAUCUUUUGAUAAAUGGGAAGAAGGAGAUCUUCAAAAAAGGGUUUCAGGUGUUGGAGAUGGCUUUGGAAAUGGCUGUGCGGAUGGAGAUGCAGAGAGAGGAAGUAUUUUUUGUCGCCCCAUCACAGAAUGACUCAGCAAAAUCAAACAGCUGUGGCACUAGAAGAUUUCUCUCAUCCUUACUUCAUAUUGCAGAAAGAAACUGGAAGAUAUUACCGUCCAAGUAUGGAAAAGACGUACGACACACAAGAUACCCUAAUAUGCAAGGAUCAGAUGGAGGAAGAGGAAUCGCUGUCCGGUAUUCCUCCUGAGCAUCAACUGCAUCAACCCUUUGAGGAUGAGGAUUCCAGGUAAGGGAAACUAUUUUUAAGAAAAGCUGACAGCAUUGGUCGCUGUAUCUCAAUACCACAGAGGAACAUGAGAACCAGGAGGAAUUUAGGUGAUUUUCAUUGGAAUCAGAGGAAAUUAUAUAUCCCAGGUUUAUAUUCAGUUUCAUCAACUUGAGUAUCUUAAUGAUGAAGGAUUUUUUUGUAGAUCAAUUAUACUCGAUAAAGCUGUUCAAAAGAAUUUGAUAUAAAACCCAUACUAGGAAAAAUAAAGGAAGAUUAAGAUGUAAUCAUCUCAUUGACACAGAAUAAAAACACUGGACUAAAUCCAUUUUGUAAUUAAAAUUUUAAAAAUUGCUAGGAAUUGAAUAGAACAUCCACAACCUAAUAAAUAAUAUGUACAGAAAACCUGCAGGAAACAUCAUACUCAGUGGGAAGCAAGACUAUCUUCCCAUAAGAAUGGGAACAAGACACACAGGUUCAUUUUUUUUUUCCUUUCUAUUAAACACUGUCCUGAAGAACUUUGCUACAGAAAACAAUCAUGCAAGAAAAAAAGAAAGAAAAGGACCCAAGGUCACAAAGAAGAGAAAUAAUUGUCUUUAAAAGUCCAAGACAUCAUCCCACAUUAAAAAAAAAAAAAAAAAACCCUGAGCAAUUUCCUAAAAACCCAUUCAAAGUAAGGAAGAAAUUUAGCAGUGUUGUAGACUAUCAAAUCAAAAUGCACAUAUUAAUUGGAUUUCUGUACACUAGUUACGGACAUUCUGAAAAUAUAAUUGAGGAAACAAUGCAAUCAAAAUUAAACCAAAAAGAAGGAAAACAUAGGAACGAAAAAUAUUUUAAAGUCCUCUGAUUUUAAGCUGAAGAAAACAAACUAUGAUAAAAAGGUAAAAACACAAUUUUGAAAAUGAUAUAGUAAAUAGACAUUUUGUCAUUGCCAAAAGUAUACACGAAUGGUGAAUACGCGUUUAAAAAUGUUUCACGUAAGUCAUUGGAGAUAAUAAGCUUAUGUUCAUUCAUUAUGAAUGUGUAUAAUGAAUGAACAUAAUCAAUGAGCUUAUGAUUAUUCAUGGAAUAAUAUUCAUUAUAAGUGAAGAUUAUUCAUUAGAAUGAAUGAGCAUUAUUGCCACACAAUUCCAGAAAUUUUUGAAUCAAACCUUAAGCAAUGGCAUUUUCUUCCAUGGAGGUGUCUAGAGAAACCUAUACACAAAAAGGCAGGGGACAAUGCCAUCAAAGACCAGUGCGUUAUUUUGGUUGGGCUGUUACUCAAUGCCUAACACCAACCUAAUUCUCUAGGAACUGGCUAAUGAUGAGGCCGAAGGCUGCAGUGGGGACCUGAGGUUUAACGCCCGGGAGGUGAGGACGCCUCUAUUUGUAGCAUAUGCCAGUUUCCAAGGGGUGCAUAUCUCCAUCAUGGCAGAUUUCAAACUACCAACCUGAAGUCCCUGACGAGGGCGUUGGAAGGACACCUGCAGCAGUCCGUCAGCACAUUUUCACCACACAGAUACGAUAGACAUAAAUAACCUCAAGGGCAUAGACUGCCGGAAAGGGCAGAAAAAUGUAGUGUAGAACAUACUAGAAAUUGGUACGUUUUAAGGAUGUAUUCCUGUUAUUAAUAUGAUUUACUUAAAUGUUAGUUUGUAUCGUUUAAUUUAGACUAAGGGUGUGUUACCAACCUGCUUGCAAGAUCCCUGACAAUGGGACCCUUGGUGCUCCUGAUCUGGGAUCGGCAGUUCAGCGCUGGCUCCUCCCACCUUCUAAACCGUUCUCAGCAGGCAGACUGCAGCAUGCACAUGCACCAGGAGGGCGAACAUACAAUAUACCGUUGCUGCUUUGCAUGUGGCCAUCCGAAUCCAUGGUGACAUGUGCAGCUGCAGACGGCAACCAGUCUUAGGGUGUCAGACCAAGGGUCUCUCUCCACGCUUGGCUUGCCCACAGAACCCUUCUGAGAAAAGCGCUAUAGAGCCUUUCUCUUCAUCCCGCUUCUCCAGGUACCUGUUCUUUUUAAACCUAAUCCACGUGUGGAUUUCUCCGCUGGUCUCUUUCACGUUGAAAUAAACAGACAUAACAAGGAAUAGAUCGAAGCACCAGGGAACCUAAGGAAAUGUCAGCAGAAAAGCCAACCAUGUUUCAUGAUUUCACAGCAGCAUCUGUUAAUGCCUUAACUGUUAUUGCCACAGAAAUAAACAUUGUUUUUAUUUGCGAUUUCAUCAUCUACCCUCUUACGGACUGGGAGUCUCGCCCUCUGACUCCCCUAAGUCUUGAUUUUUUUCCACAUUCAAACACCCCAAAGCAGAGAAUUUGAUGGAGUUUUGGUGACUUCCUCCAAGGUAUCACCUGUGUUAGGGCAGAUUUCUCUCCCCAGGGGCCUGACGAACCAUCGGCUCACCCCGUAGACCAUGGAGUCCAUGUUGGCUGAUGUUGGAAUCACCUGUGAGGCUUUGAAAGCACGGAUGCUUGGGUCCUACCUCCAGACUUCUGAUUCAACUGGUGUGGGCUGUGACCUGCGUAUUGGGUGGAUUUUAAAGCUUCCCAGGUGUGGCCAAGGUUGGAAUUACCUUAGAAUAUAAAUGCACGCAUUUCACGCGCCGGUCAAUUACUGCUUCAAUCUUUGAUUCCAACAUCAUAUGAUACCAAUUGGAGCAAUUUAAGCCAGAGAAGCUGGCUGAGUCCACGUUGAACACCGGCAUAAAAUAAAGAGAGAGAGAUAUCAAGACACAUUUGGCUCUAGGGAGAACAUUAGCUCUACUAUUCAUAAAUCUGGAU
rnacentral:lncRNA from 1 species